CUUAUGACAACAUUUUUGAAGGUGUUUAUUUUCCCUAUUUUCUUUUAUUUAUAUUUGCCCUAGUCUGGCACAGGCUCGCUCAAACUCUAGACAUUGUUCUCUUUCUCUCGCUCGCCCAUCGUCGUCUGCAGAACAACGAGUCUCUAUCUUUUACAUGAUCCCACACUUUGGAUUUCUCGCUCGAUCAAAUAGUUGCUAAGGGACAUGACAUGAUGAUGGGGUUCAGUCCAUUGCUUCCGACAUAAUCUAAAGGUCUAAUGGAGAGAGUUCAGCAAAAACUCAAGAUUGAGCUCAAGCAUACCCAACUCUAUUGAAUGUUUAUGCACCCAAGUUUAAGACUGGUGGAACAUUUUGGCCAGUAGUACACAGUCCAACAAUAUUUUCCCUAAUAUUGACGCAAAUUAUUGCCAUUGGAAUAUUUGGGCUGAAGAAAAUUCCCCUGGCAUCCACCUUUUGUGUUUCUCUUCCAGUUCUCACUCUUAUAUUCAAUGACUAUUGCCGGAAACGUUUUCUACCCAUAUUCCAAGCUUAUUCUGCUGAGGGAUGAUUUGCAAAUCCCUUCUUCUCCAUACUUCCCAGCCUAUGACUAUGCCUAUGCGCAAGGACAUGGAUGAGGACACCCCCCAAUGGUGCAAGAGCAUUUUCAGAGUGUUAUCAGUCAGCUUUUUCAACAUAGGAUAAUACGUUGCGGUGGAGCUGUGAAUCAUGAAUUGUAAAUGGCUAUUUGGGAUCUCAUAUCAUUAAUGGAGUCUAAGCUGAGAAGUGGAACCACCCUCAUUGUGGACCGCUAUUCAUUUUCUGGGGUAGCUUUUUCAUCUGCCAAGGGUCUUGACUUUGAAUGGUGCAAGGUGUGAAGACAUGCUUCAAUUUAAAAUUCCAAUCUACAUAUCAGGUUUUGUUGAAGGAAUAGUUGAUAUGAUUGAGCAGGUGAUGUUUGGGAGCCAAACUAAGAUUAUGUUGCGCUUUUUUUUUCUUUUCUUUUCUUUUUUUCUUUUAUUUAUAUUUAUAUUUAUAUUUUUUUGAGGACUUGAAUCUUUUAGUAUAAUAUAUUUUAAGGAUGGUUGAUGGAUAUUUGUUUUGCAUGUAUGAAAGUUUAUGUUUUGUUUGCACACUUAUAUGUGAAUAGGUGAAUAUUUCUAUUAUAAGUUUAAAUUAAUUUGUUAA